rnacentral:tRNA from 1 species
CGGGCUAUAGCGCAGUUGGUAGCGCGCUUGCAUGGGGUGCAAGAGGUCGUGAGUUCAAAUCUCACUAGCCCGACCA